AAGUCGUAACAAGGUUUCCGUAGGUGAACCUGCGGAAGGAUCAUUAACGAAAUUAUGACUGGGGUUGUCGCUGGCCUAUAAAACGGCAUGUGCACGCCCCUUUCACAAUCCACACACACCUGUGCACCUUCGCGGGGGUCUUCCUUACCGGAAGGCUCGCGUCCCUUUACACACCCUCUGUAUGUCUUAAGAAUGUCUACUCGAUGUAAUAAAACGCAUCUAAUACAACUUUCAACAACGGAUCUCUUGGCUCUC
rnacentral:misc_RNA from 1 species